rnacentral:tRNA from 1 species
UGGCAGAGUGGUUGAAUGCACCGGUCUUGAAAACCGGCGAACGUUAAUAGCGUUCCCAGGGUUCGAAUCCCUGG